rnacentral:rRNA from 1 species
GUGUCAGCAGCCGCGGUAAAACGUAGGAGGCGAGCGUUAUCCGGAUUUACUGGGCGUAAAGCGCACGCAGGUGGCCGUGUAAGUCGGACAUGAAAGCUCCUGGCUUAACUGGGAGAGGUGGUUCGAAACUGCAGGGCUUGAGGUUGGGAGAGGGACGUGGAAUUCCCGGUGUAGUGGUGGAAUGCGUAGAUAUCGGGAGGAACACCAGUGGCGCAAGCGGCGUCCUGGCCCACACCUGACGCUGAGGUGCGAAAGCGUGGGGAGCAAACAGGAUUAGAAACCCCCGUAGUCC